rnacentral:lncRNA from 1 species
UUUGUGAUGCUUGAUUCAGUUUGAAGGCUUGAACUGAGUGAGUCUGAGUGUCUAUAUAUUUAUCAGUAGUACUGGAGUAACUGAUGGAUCAGUGAUACAAUCAUUGAUACAAGUUAUGACUGAUGAGAAUUACCAGCUCACUGGACCCUGACUCUAAGAAUCUGAGGAGUUAUUACGUGUGUAUCCUCCAUAUAUAAAUUAUUUUGAAGUCACUAAGGAGGCUCUCAGUUCCUGUGAUCGUCAGUUCCCAAGGUUUCAUGCUUUCCUUAAGUGUAAUGAGUCCAAACCAGAGUGUGGCCGCCAGACACUAUCAGA